AUUUAUUUACUUCAAGAGUUAAGAGUGGCGGUUUGGGGAUAGCACGAGGAGAUAUCAGCUGUGAUGGCUUGGAGAAACAGUGUAAACCGGCAGUGUAAACAAGAGCAGGGCAUGUAUGAGUAGUUGAGAACGGAGAAUAGGAGUAUGACUAGACAGAAGAUAGUAGGGAUGACAAGUUUUUUUUGGGGCACACUCUAAGUUGGUCCGGUGUUUGGAAUGAGACUGGGGCCUAAUAAAAAGGAGCAUCUAUACAGGAGCCCAAAUGGGCUGUACCUUGUAGCAUUCUGAGGACGGGUCUGACUUCUGAGAAGGGAAAGUGGUAAAAGUAUUGUCCAGUUCUUUUUAAGUUGGUGGCUGAGCUUGGUGAGGUGUGUUUUUGAAAGACCUUUAGUCCGUUCUACUUUUCUUGAAGACAGACGACUAUAAGGGAUAUAAAGGUUUCACUGAAUACUAAGAGCCUGAAAAACUGCUUGGCUGAUUUGACUAAUAAAGGUUGGUCUGUUAUCAGACUGUAUAGAGGUGGGAAGGCUAAACUGAGGGAUUAUGUCUGACAGAAGGGAAGAAAUGACUGCAGUGGCCUUCUCAGACCCUGUAGGAAAGGCCUCUACCUAUCUAGUGAAAGUGUCUACUUAGACUAAGAGGUAUUUUAGUUUUUGUGACUCAGGGCAUGUUGAGUAAAGCUAAUUUGCCAGUUCCGGGGGCGGGGGCAGGGGGCAAAUCCUCAAGUUUGAUGUGUAGGGAAGGGAGGGGUCCUGAAUAAUCCUUGAGGAGUAGUAGAAUAGCAGAUAGAAUAGCAGAUGGAACACUGAGAAAUUAUUUCCUUGAGGAUAGAUUUCUACAAUGGAAAGGAAAUGAGAGGUUCUAAGAGGCGGGCUAGUGGCUUGUACUAUAGCAUAGCCUGCCUUUGCUGGUGUGUGGCGAUUAGGCCUGGUGGAACUGCCAUCAAUAAAUCAAGCGUGAUCAGGGUGAGGAACAGGAAAGAAGGAAAUAUGGGGAAAUGUGGUGAAUGUCAGGUGGAUCAGAGACAUACAGUCAUGGGGGUCAGGUGUGGUAUCAGGAAUAAUGUGGGAGGCCAGAUUGAAGUCUGGGCCAGGAACAAUGGUAAUUGUGGGACUUAACAAAGAGUGAGUACAGCUGAAGGAGCCGGGGAGCAGAAAGUAUAUGCAUCAGGUAUGAGGAAGAAAAUAGAUUUUGGAAGUUAUGAGAAAUGUAGAGAGUAAGUUGAGCAUAGUUUAUGAUUUUUAGGGCCUCUAAAAGUAUUAGGGUGGCAGCAGCCGCUGCACGGAGACAUGAGGGCUAGGCUAAAACAGUAAGGUCAAGUUGUUUGGACAGAAAGGCUACAGGGUGCGGUCCUGGCUCUUGUGUAAGAAUUCUGACCACACUAACCAUGCCUAGGAAGGAAAGGAGUUGUUGUUUUGUAAGGGAUUGAGGUUGGGGAGAUUAAUUGGACACGAUCAGCAGGGAGAGCACCUGUGUUUUUAUGAGAAUUAUGCUGAGAUAGGUAACAGAUGAGGGUGAAAUUUGGGCUUGACUGAAGUAAUGGGGGCUGUCUGUGAAGCCUUGCGGCAGUACAGCCCAGGUAAUUUGCUGAGCCUAAUGGGUGUUAGGGUCAGUCCAGCUGAAAGCGAAGAGAGGCUGGGAUGAUGGGUGCAAAGGAAUAGUAAAGAAAACAUGUUUGAGAUCCAGAACAGAAUAAUGGAUUGUGGAGGGAGGUAUUGAGGAUAGGAGAGUAUAUGGGUUUGGCACCAUAGGGUGGAUAGGCAAAACAAUUUGGUUGAUAAGGCAUAGAUCCCGAACUAACUUGGAAGGCUUGUCUGGUUUUAGGACAGGUAUAAUGGGGGAAUUGUAAGGAGAGUUUAUAGGCUUUAAAAGGCCAUGCUGUAGCACGCAAGUGAUAACAGGCUUUAAUCCUUUCAAAGCAUGGUGUGGGAUGAGAUAUUGGCAUUGAGCGGGGUAAGGGUGAUUAGGUUUUAAUGAGAUAGUAAGGGGUGCAUGAUCAGUUACCAAGGAGGGAGUAGAGGUAUCUUAUUCCUGUGGGUUAAGGUGGGGGAAUACAAGAGGAGGACGCAAAGGAGGCUUUGGAUUGGGAAGAAGGGCAGCAAUGAGAUGUAGCUGUAAUCCAGGACUAGUCAGGGAAGCAGAUAAUUUAGUUAAAGUGUCUCGGCCUAAUAAGGGAACUGAGCAGGUGGGGAUAACUAAAAGAGUGCUUAGAAGAGUAUUGUCUCAGUUGGCACCAGAGUUGGGGAGUUUUAAGAGGUUUAGAAGCCUGGCCGUCAAUACCUACAACAGUUACGGAGGCAAGGGAAACAGGCCCUUGAAAAGAAGGUAAUGUGGAGUGGGUAGGCUCCAUAUUGAUUAAGGGGACGGACUUACCUUCCACUGUGAGAGUUACUCGAAGCUCAGCGUCUGUGAUGAUCUAUGGGGCUUUCGAGGUGAUCGGGCAGCGUCAGUCUUCAGCUGCUAAGCCGAGAAGGAGUCAGAGAGCCUUGGGCCAGAAUUCCAGGGGCUCUGGGAGUGCCUGCCAGGCUGGAGGGCAAUGGCGUGGUUUUGCUCACUGCAACCUCCGCCUUCCAGGUUCAAGGAUUCUUCUGCAUCAGCCUUGCAAUUAGCUAGGAAUACAGUAUCCCCUGGCUUGGACUUAAUACAGCUGCAAUCCCAGAUAUGACCAUUCAUUUGGAGAGAAUGUCAGGAGAAUCCUAGUUUUCUCCCUAUUAAAAGACUUGAAUUCCUACUUAAGAGUCUUUCAUCUAAAUGCCCACAAGAGAAAGCGGGAAAGAUCUACAAUUGACACCCUAACAUCACAAUUAAAAGAACUAGAGAAGCAAGAGCAAACAAAUUAAAAAGCUAGCAGAAGACAAGAAAUAACUGAGAUCAGAGCAGAACUGAAGGAGAUAGAGACACAAAAAAACCCUUCAAAAAAUCAAAUAAUCCAGAAGCCUGGUUUUUUGAAAAGAUCAACAAAAUUGAUAGACUGCUGACCAGACUAAUAAAGAAGAAAAGAGAGAAGAAUAAAAUAGAUGCAAUAAAAAAUGAUAAAGGGGGUAUCACUACCAAUCCCACAGAAAUACAAACUAGCAUCAAAGAAUACUAAAAACACCUCUACGCAAAUAAACUAGAAAACGUAGAAGAAAUGGAUAAAUUCCUGGACACAUACACCCUCCCAAGACUAAAGCAGGAAGAAGUGGAAUCUCUGAAUAGACGAAUAACAGGCUCUGAAAUUGAGGCAAUAAUUAAUAGCCUAUGAACCAAAGAAAGUCCAGGACCAGACAGAUUCACAGCCGAAUUCUACCAGAGGUACAAGGAGGAACUGUUACCAUUCCUUCUGAGACUAUUCCAAUCCAUAGAAAAAAAGGAAACCUCUCUAAUUCAUUUUAUGAGGCCAGCAUCAUCCUGAUACCAAAGCCUGGCAAAGACACUACAAAAAAAAGAGAAUUUUAGACCAUUGUCCCUGAGGAAUAUUGAUGCAAAAAUCCUCAAUAAAAUACUGGCAAACUGAAUCCGGCAGCACAUCAAAAAGUUUAUCCACCACGAUCAAGUCGGCUUCAUCUCUGGGAUGCAAGGCUGGUUCAACAUAUGCAAAUCAAUAAACAUAAUUCAUCACAUAAACAGAACCAAUGACAAAAACCACAUGGUUAUCUUAAUAGAUGCAGAAAAGUCCUUCAACAAAAUUAAACAGCCCUUCAUGCUAAAAACUCUCAAUAAACUAGGUAUUCAUGGAACAUAUCUCAAAAUAAUAAGAGCUAUUUAUGACAAAC
rnacentral:lncRNA from 1 species